UACGGAGGGUGCGAGCGUUAAUCGGAAUUACUGGGCGUAAAGGGUGCGUAGGCGGGUCUUUAAGUCAGGGGUGAAAUCCUGGAGCUCAACUCCAGAACUGCCUUUGAUACUGAAGAUCUUGAGUCCGGGAGAGGUGAGUGGAACUGCGAGUGUAGAGGUGAAAUUCGUAGAUAUUCGCAAGAACACCAGUGGCGAAGGCGGCUCACUGGCCCGGUACUGACGCUGAGGCACGAAAGCGUGGGGAGCAAACAGG
rnacentral:rRNA from 1 species